AUCACAAAGACAGGAAGCCAAACACAGCAUGUUCUCCCUCAUAGAUGGUGUUAGAAGUGGGGUCUGAAGUAGAGCCUCUAUAAGAACCCCAGGAGUGCUGAGUGAACAAGCAAGGUAUCUGCUGGAGCUACUUGUGUCCUUUGAUCUCUCAGCAGCUGGAGAUCAUGGAGCUGAACUUCUGAUGUGUGGAUGGGAGGGGAGAUGGCAUAUGGCCUGGUGAAAUAGGAAUUCUUCAUUGUUUUUUCUAGCAUUCAUUUGGUUACUUCCAGUGUUUUAAAAUAAAAUAUUUGUCACAAACAAAUGAAAAAACAUUCCAUGCUCAUGGAUGGGAAGAAUCAAUAUCGUGAAAAUGGCCAUACUGCCCAAAGUAAUUUAUAGAUUCAAUGCUAUUCCCAUCAAGCUACCACUGACUUUCUUCACAGAAUUAGAAAAAACUACUUUAAAUUUCAUAUGGAAUCAAAAAAGAGCCUGUAUAACCAGGGCAAUCCUAAGCAAAAAGAACAAAGUUGGAGGCAUCACGCUACCUGACUUCAAACUAUACUACAAGGUUACAGUAACCAAAACAACAUGUUACUAGUACCAAAACAGACAUAUAGACCAAUGGAACAGAACAGAGUCCUCAGAAAUAACACCAUGCAUCUAUAGCCAUCUGAUCUUUGACAAAACUGACAAAAACAAGCAAUGGGGAAAGGAUUCCCUAUUUAAUAAAUGAUGUCGGGAAAACUGGCUAGCCAUAUGCAGAAAGCUGAAACUGGACCCCUUCUUUACACCUUAUACAAAAAUUGACUCAACAUGGAUUAAAGACUUAAACAUAAGACCUAAAACCAUGAAAACCCUGGAAGAAAGCCUAGGCAAUACCAUUCAGGAUACAGGCAUGGGCAAAGACUUCAUGACUAAAACACCAAAAGCAAUUGCAACAAAAGCCAAAACUGACAAAUGGGAUCUAAUUAAAUGAAAGAGCUUCUGCACAGCAAAAGAAACUAUCAUCAGAGUGAACAGGCAACCUACAGAAUGGGAGAAAAUUUUUGUAAUUUAUCCAUCUGACAAAGGUCUAAUAUCCAGAAUCUACAGAGAACUUAAACAAAUGUACAAGAAAAAACAAACAACCCCAUCAAAAAGUGGGGCAAAGGAUAAGAACAGACACUUAUCAGAAGAAGACAUUUAUGCAGCCAACAAACAUAUGAAAUAAAGCUCAUCAUCACUGCUCAUUAGAGAAAUGCAAAUCAAAAUUGCAAUGAGAUACCGUCUCACGCCAGUUAGAAUGGCUAUCAUUAAAAAGCCAGGAAACAACAGAUGCUGGAGAGGAUGUUGAGAAAUAGAAGUGCUUUUACACUGUUGAUGGGAGUGUAAAUUAGUUCAACCAUUGUGGAAGACAGUGUGGCGAUUCCUCAAGGAUCUAGAACCAGAAAUACCAUUUGACCCAGCAAUCCCAUUACUGGGUAUAUACCCAAAGGGUUAUAAAUCAUUCUACUAUAAAGACAUACACACACAUAAGUUUAUUGCAGCACUAUUCACAAUAGCAGACUUGGAACCAAUCCAAAUGCCCAUCAGUGAUACACUGGAUAAAGAAAAUGUGGCACAUAUACACCAUGGAAUACUAUGCAGCCAUAAAAAUGAUGAGUUCAUGUCCUUUGCAGGGACAUGGAUGAAGCUGGAAACCAUCAUUCUCAGCAAACUAACACAGGAACAGAAAACCAAACACUGCAUGUUCUCACUCAUAAGUAGGAGUUGAACAAUGAGAACACAUGGACGCAGGGAGGGGAACGUCACA
rnacentral:lncRNA from 1 species